rnacentral:rRNA from 1 species
UACGUAGGGGGCGAGCGUUGUCCGGAAUUAUUGGGCGUAAAGAGCGUGUAGGCGGUUCGGUAAGUCUGCCGUGAAAUCCUGGGGCUCAACCCCGGGCGUGCGGUGGAUACUGCCGGGCUAGAGGGUGGUAGAGGCGAGUGGAAUUCCCGGUGUAGCGGUGAAAUGCGCAGAUAUCAGGAAGAACACCCGUGGCGAAGGCGGUUCUCUGGGACGGUACUGACGCUGAGACGCGAAAGCGUGGGGAGCGAACAGG